UCCCGCCAGGGCUGCACUGAGGCUUCGCGCAGACGCUCUCCCGCGAUCUGCUGCAGACCCGGACGGUGUGGCUACCGCGACAGCGGCGGCGGUGGCGCCGGUGACAGCUGGGCGCAGCGCGGCCACCGAACUGUCCAACUCUUUCGGGCGUGGGGCUCAGACGCCCGGCCGCGGCCCCGGCGCUGAGCGCCUGCGCGCCCGGCCUCGCCCAGGUGAGCGCUCGCCGGGCGCGCCCUGCCCACACCAGCAGCCCGCCGGGCUCCCUCGUCUGGCCGAGGACCCCCGGGUUUAGACGCUCCAACGCCACUCUCGCGCGCCGAUGGUGGUGACGGUUGACCAAGGAGAGACUUGCAAGGCACACACACUAAAGCGAUGAGGCGGGACUGUUCGGGGCUGGUUGACACUGCAGAGUCUCCCGCAGCAGCGCUGCCUUAAAUCCCGCCUUGCCAGGCGCGCGCGCACAGCUAGGGAGAGCAGGCGCCGGCCGACCAGGGGUCCCACCCGGGGCGCAGCUUCGGGGCUCAGGUCCUUGAAGAAAUGCUUGGCGAUGACAGAGGUCCCCAAACCGGGAUGCCAAGCCGCGCAGAAGGGCGGAUGUUUCAUGUAUUAGGCAAACCAGAGUGAAACUCUCUUCUUGGAGAUGGGCAGACCAACUAUUUGUUUUUCCUCUUUGACCAGCUCUCUGCUCGCUGACCACACGGAGCAGCCUGGGCGUUUUUGGCUGAGCCGGGAAGGCCGGGAGAGCCGAGGCAUCGCAGCCUUGCUUGGACCUGAAACACUCGUGGGCGGGGAGAGGGCUCAUUUCCUCCGGAUUUCUAUUCCGUGUUUAUUUAAGUUUUCCAAACUGAAACGUGCCAUCGGUUAACCUGAUGUAGGGCAUCUUCUGAAAAUUGUGCACGUAUGGCCAAGGUGCUCCGUCCUCAAAGGGAAAGCACUUGGAAAGAAAACAUUGAAGGCGAAAGGAAAAAUAAUUUCAAGAAAGCAGUUUUCUGAGAUUACUUCUUUGGGAAGAAGUUCAAGGGUAAUAAAUGACAAGAGAGCUGUAGUAGACAGUAGGGAUUUUUCUUUAGCCAGAUGAUUUUAAAAUAUUAUUCUUUGGUUCUUGUCUCAGAUGAUUGACACCAACACCAUAAAUAAUUAAUCUAGCAGCUGUUAAUGUCUUGGCAUAAUCGUUCAGAGUAAAUAUCUUAGCGUCCAGCCAAAGCCAAUUCUGUUUUCCAGGGUGGGUUUGAGAUUUAACAAAUGUGCACUCACCCCAUUCUAGAGCUUUCUAAAGGAGCAGGUUGUGUUUAUUAUCCACUUUGGAAUGUAGGAUUAUUGCAGGCGCCAGCGCACCUGAGGUACCAGCGUGAGAAGGGGCAUUACUCUGAUAGUUUUUAUAUUUUUAGAAUCCAAACAUCUUCACAUCCAGCUAGGCAGUCUCACUCAUUACUAAGGGUAGAUCUUUAUUGGUAUGUUUGUUCUUAAAACUGUCUCCUAUUUGAAAUUGCUACAGAAGGCAAGCUCCAAAAUUCAAUCAUUUUAACUCAAAAAGAUCAUGAAGAAUGAUAAUUGCUUAAAGAGUCUUUUACAAAAUUAUGCUCUUAAAGUCUUUUCCCAUCAGUGAAGGUUAUAUUGAAAAAUAAGUCUUGCACAAGUCCCUAAGGGUCAGUAGGAUGGGGCUUUGGCAAACUGGAAGCAGCAGGAAAUUUCAGAGGCAAAAGCCUUCCAUGAGAGAAGAAAAAAAAACACCCAGCUUUUAGUGCCCUGCACUUCAGAGUUGGGAAUAGAACAGUUGUUGUGGUUGCUACUGAAUUCAGAUAAGUAUUGGUAUCUCCAGAAAUCUAAGGUACACAUAAAAGGGGAGGGCCCCUCAACACCUCCAGUCAACAGCUUGGAUUGUACUUGCAGGCAAUUGAGUAACCUCUGCAGAGUGGAACACCUGUGAGAAGUGUUCCCUGUGGCUUGCACAAUUUAGAAGUAUGUGCAUUUUUUAUGUCCUGCAAGCUGCAACUAUAUCCUUCUUUCCUCCUUGUCUAUUUUUAAUCACCUAUAGCUAAGACUUAUGGUGGAGAAUUAUUUGAGGAUUGCAUUUCCUAACAACAGCUGAAAGAAGCAUCAAAUACUUGCAGACAACUCCCAAUUUUUCACCUAUGACAUAAGUAACUAAGAACCCUGCACCUCAGGUCCUGAGCCAAGGCAGGAUAUAAGGGCUGAGACAAUUACAGUGCCUCCUUUUAAAUACACGACAUUAAACUAAAAAAAUAAAUAAAUAAAGUAUAGAAAAUAUUAAAACAUCUUCUUUUUAGAUAUUCUGAUUGCAAUUGUGUGUGUCUAUUGGAUAAUUUGCAUUGACUGUACUUUUCCAGAGUUAUUGGAUAGGGAAAACCCUCCUGUCAUCAUUUUUCUAGAAUCAUUAUAGUGAACUAAACCAACUAGCAGAACUGUAGCCCUGGGUUAGGAGCAUUGGGAGAGUGGUCAGAUAGCAUUGCAUAGGGUGCUAGCACAUCAAGAGGAUAACCCAGGGCUGGGGCUAUAGCUCAGUGGCAGAGCACUUGCCUAGCAUGUGUGAGGUACUGGAUUCGAUCCUCAGCACCACAUAAACAUAAACAAAUAAAAUAAAGGCAUUCUGUCCAUCUUCAACUACAAAAAGAAAAAAAAGAGGAUGACCCAAAGACAAGGAAGCAAAGCACAAAAGAAUUCACUUUUUUUCCCCCUACUUUUUUUGGGUUUAAGAGGUAUGUGGCACAUUUGUUCCUAAAUAUUGAUGUGAUAAGCAAAUUCCUUGUACAUCCAUAAAUUCAUUCUUUUCAAUGGAUAAAGAUCUUGGUGAUAAAAAGAACAUCAACCAAUUCAAGAAAUUUAUUAGUAGGUUGGUUUUACUAUAUAUGAAAUUGUUAUGAAUUAAUGCACUUUACGUUACUUUAUACAACUAGACUCCACAUUUUAGAUUGCUUUGCAGGUAUCAGCAAGACAGUGAUCUUGAGGCUAGGGGCCAUAUUUUGAAAAUUACUCUUGCAAUGGAAGAAAAUUAGCCUAGUAAUAGAAAAAUAAUUUGAUUUUCAACAAUCUCCACUAUGAAUUUUUGCUGAUAAUUCCCUUUCAGAUGGCUCUAGUGCCUUAUGAUGGGGGAAAUACACUUCCUGAGUUGGAAGAGCAGAACUUGAGGUCUGAUCUUGCACUAUCUAGCUGUGUGAUAUUUUUCACUCCUUCUAUGGUUCAGGUUCCUUGUCUUUAAUAUGGGAAAAUAAAUAGAUCUUUCAUGUAUGAUUAUCCUGAGGACCAAAGCAAAUAAAAAGAUAUUUUUCAAAUUAUUAAACACCUCAUAGAUAUUCAUCAUAAUUCCCUUUAACACCUAAUUGUGAAGCAGAUAAGAGGUUCAUCUCCAUAUUUGACAAUAGGUGUGUGUGUGUGUAGUAUUUCUAGUAUAUUUGAUGUUACUUUAUAAAACUAGACUCUACGGACAUUUUAAAUUGCUUUGCAGGUAUCAGUAAGACAAUGGUCUUGGGGCUAAGGGCCAUAGUUUAAAAACAACUCUUGCAAUGGAAGAAAAUUAGACUAGUAAUAGAAAAUCAGAAUUCUAAUCUCAGCUGUUGCUCUGAGCCUAGAACUUCAGUUCUGUAAGACUGAAUUAAUUAC
rnacentral:lncRNA from 1 species